rfam:Candidatus Muproteobacteria bacterium RBG_19FT_COMBO_61_10 rbg_19ft_combo_scaffold_3019, whole genome shotgun sequence.
AUUUUUACCUUUAGUGGCAGUAUCCUUCCGCGUUUUCGCGCAAGCCGCGCGAACCCGUAAGGGCGUGAAGGAUAUGCUGGAGAUCGUUUGAAUGGCCCGAAUUGCAGGCAUUAACAUACCCAAC